CCGCCGCGGCCUCGCCGGGCCUGGCUGGCCUGUUUGUUCUAUACUUCUAAUGUUUAAUAAUUACCCAGAGCUUUGGAUAUAUGCAAUUCUGCAAAAUAAAUCAAAAGGAGUCAGAAGGCAAUUUUAUUUCCUAAUAGACCCUUAGUUAGAAUUUAACUUAAAAGCCAUUUUUAACAAAUGUAAACAAUAUCUCCCCUCCUCUCCAUCAAAGUCUGACGGAGACAAAUGAAAAGAUUUUUUAGAAGAAUAGGACUAUAUCAAGACCAAAAAAAAAAAAAAAAGCUAAGAAAGGGUACCAUCAACAAUCUUUACAGAACUUCUGGAAAGUAAAAAGCAAAUGGUACUGGCCUGGGGAAUAACCAAAGAAAAUGAAACCUCAGCCCCGGAUGGCAAAGGACACAACUGGAGAAACUAGUUAUUUCACCAAGGCUUUGACUGGAAUGGCAUGCUUCUUUAAAGAAUCAAAGUUGACUUGUAGAGCCAAUAAAAGCCCCUUGGGAAAUGUGGCCUCAUACCUUGUCUAUGCCAUCUCUGUACAAGAUUCCCGACUUGUGACAUCCUGAGACAUAAAGUGAAAAGGACCUAGAAGGAACUACUGGAAGAAAUAUCACCCCUAUUAAACUGGGCAAUUUUGUUUAAAUAUGAGUGUUCUGGAGGAAACAUGCAUUGUCACCAGGCUGGAUGGGACCCUUUCAAGUGCCACGAUCACUCAUAUGGGUAUCAGAGUGAAAGAAAAACCAGAUGGUUUCAUGCUUUCCAUGUGAAGCCAGCUCCUCAGGAGGACUAGACUGCAGUUUCCACAAAGGAUUUGAAGUUUAAUUUCCUAGAGUGACUAAUAUUGGUAAUGAACUCAACUGAAAGGAGGUAUUCUAAGGAAUGUAUUAUUCUGACUACCUUGCUGUCCUAGUUGCAAUAGUGUUUUGUUCAAUUACUAUAAGAAUCACAUUUUAUUAGAAAAUAAACAUGUUAUUUGUUACACCACUUUUUCUUUCUGUACUCCCAAUAAUGGUUCCUACAGUCACAUUUCCUCUCUCCUCUGAAUUGUAUUCCCAGUACAGAAAUGCUGGGCCUGCAUUUAUGAAUCCAACAGUCUGAUUAUUGGCCAAAUAAACACAAGACCAUGUUCAUUACUAUGUUUUAAUAUCAAAGUAAAAGUAACUACUAUGCAUCCAGAAACCAAAGCCCUAAAUUUCACACAAAAAAAUUUGUUAACUGGUUUGAUUGGAAGUAUAGUAUAGAAAAGAAAUGCAUCUAAUUAAGUGUCUGGCAUUUAUGGAUAGAGACCUCAGAAGACAGCUCUAAUGUCAAUCGAUUAACUUGAGAAUAGAAGUUUUCUCCAGUCCUACUAUGGAUAGAUAAACAAAGGUGGAUAUGCCUGUUAUCUAUGGUUAUUUAGUUAACUGUUAUAAUAAUAUAACUACUGGUUUGGACCGAGGUAAGAAAUGGCCCAAAAGUUGGCUUUGUCCUCCAGACUUAAAACUAUUAGAGCCAUGUACACUAAACACUGGAAAUUCAAUCUGUGCCCUUCAACGGGUACUUCAUAAUAAGACUUUGAUACUAUAUAAUGGCCACGAGUGUCUUUGCAUUUUGCAUCUGGGAGAAAUUAUUUGGGAAGAUGGGAUAAUUACCAAAAGGCCUAGUUUAUCCUAUAAAUGCAAUAUUACUCCUGUGACUGCUGAGAACUCAGAGGAAAUUCAUUGGGCCUUACAAGAAAAACUCAGUUAAAAAACAUAUAUUAUCAGGCUCCAGAGUUAAGCUAUUAACUCGGCUAGGAUAGGGAUUUCUUUCUUUUUUGUUUGUUUGUUUGUUUUCUGAAGAUGGAUUCUCACUCAAUAGCCCAG
rnacentral:lncRNA from 1 species